GAUCCUAGGGUCAGGAGACCAGGGGUCUGAGCCCAAGCUUCUCUGAUUUGGAAGACUCAUGACCCCCAAGGCAAGAUUCUGAGAUUCAAGAUUUUCCCUCAAAUAUCCUAAUAUUCUAUCAUGUUGAAACCAUUCUUAGCAUAAAUGUCUUCUUUUGAGAAGUGUCUGUUCAUGUCCUUCGCCCACUUUUUGAUGGGGUUGUUUGUUUUUUCUUGUAAAUUUGAGUUCACAAAGAUUCUAAGGGGAAGAAU
rnacentral:lncRNA from 1 species